rnacentral:tRNA from 1 species
GACUAUUUAGUUUAUAAAAAAUUAUAAUUUGCAAAAUUAUAGAAUUAAUGGUUUAAGACUUA